CACGUAGGGUGCGAGCGUUGUCCGGAAUUAUUGGGCGUAAAGAGCUCGUAGGCGGUGUGUCGCGUCGGCCGUGAAAACCUGGGGCUUAACUCUGGGCGUGCGGUCGAUACGGGCAUCACUGGAGUUCGGCAGGGGAGACUGGAAUUCCUGGUGUAGCGGUGAAAUGCGCAGAUAUCAGGAGGAACACCGAUGGCGAAGGCAGGUCUCUGGGCUGACACUGACGCUCAUGCACGAAAGCGUGGGGAGCAAACAGG
rnacentral:rRNA from 1 species